rfam:Triticum aestivum genome assembly, contig: Triticum_aestivum_CS42_TGACv1_scaffold_431752_5BS
GGAUGCGAUGAUACAAGCACUAAAGCACCGGAUCCCAUCAGAACUCCGAAGUUAAGCGUGCUUGGGCGAGAGUAGUACUAGGAUGGGUGACCUCCUGGGAAGUCCUCGUGUUGCAUUCC